GCCCCGAGGCGCGGCCGCGCUGAGGGCGGGGGGGGACGCGGCGCUGCCCGUCCCCUCCUUCCCUCCCUGUUCCUUUCCUUCCCUCCCUGUUCCCCUCCUUCCCUCCCUUCUUCCUUUCCUUCCCUCCCUCCCGGCGCGGCUCCUCGCAGGCGGACCCGGCGCCGGUGAGGAGCGAGGCAGGAUCGGCCCCCGGGCACGGGCGACUUUGGAGGGGGGCAGGGACACCUCCCACUAUCCCAGGCUGCUCCAAGACCCGUCCAACCUGGCCUUGGAAACUUCUAUGGAUGGAGCAUCCACCACUUCCCUCCCAUGGAGCCACUAUCAAAUCUGCCACAGAUUUGAGGUUUAAAUACAGAAGAACAGGGACUGCAGUGAAACACAGGGCCUUCAGAGGAAUCAAUGCAGAAAUAGAGACGAGCAUCAUCUAAUGAAGGUGUGUUUAAUGUUCAGCGCUUCAGCCUGGAUUAAAUAGCCAAGUGAGGAACUGCCUCGUGUCUCAGGAGGUUGGGCACCCUCCACUCCAGUGGCAGCUGGAGCUUCCCAGCCUUCCUGGGUAAGCCACAUGCUUCCACAUGGGGUAAAUGGGGACUUCAGUCCCUAAGAGCCCAGUUUGGGAAAUCUGCUAAUUAAAUAGUCUGGGCAAACACAAUCAUCAUUGUCCUUAGAGCCAAAGCAGCGAGAUGUUUCUCAACAAGCACAGACCCUCCCCGGAAUUUUCUGAGCUGUCUGCGUGUUGCUGACAGUUAUAGAGAAUAUAUUCAGAUUAUACAACUUGAUGUUCACCCCGGGUUAUUCUCU